GACGAACGCUGGCGGCGUGCCUAAUACAUGCAAGUAGAACGCUGAAGCGAGGAGCUUGCUCUUCUUGGAUGAGUUGCGAACGGGUGAGUAACGCGUAGGUAACCUGCCUUGUAGCGGGGGAUAACUAUUGGAAACGAUAGCUAAUACCGCAUAACAAUGGAUGACACAUGUCAUUUAUUUGAAAGGGGCAAUUGCUCCACUACAAGAUGGACCUGCGUUGUAUUAGCUAGUAGGUGAGGUAAUGGCUCACCUAGGCGACGAUACAUAGCCGACCUGAGAGGGUGAUCGGCCACACUGGGACUGAGACACGGCCCAGACUCCUACGGGAGGCAGCAGUAGGGAAUCUUCGGCAAUGGGGGCAACCCUGACCGAGCAACGCCGCGUGAGUGAAGAAGGUUUUCGGAUCGUAAAGCUCUGUUGUAAGUCAAGAACGGGUGUGAGAGUGGAAAGUUCACACUGGGACGGGAGCUUACCAGAAAGGGACGGCGAACUACGG
rnacentral:rRNA from 1 species